CUGGGUCCUGCAGGAAGUGAGUGCGGGAGAGUGAGUGAGUGCGGGACAGAGUGAGUGGAUGAAUGAAUGGAGUGGUAAAAUGAUUGGGUGGAUGACAACUUAAAGGGGUUUGUUGAUAGGGAUGGAAUAUGUUGGCUUUGCUUGCAUGGAUAGUGUAUAAAUUGACGUGACUAAGAUGAACAACCCAGCGAGUGAUAAGCUAUCCAAUAGGUGGUUUACUAUCCAGAAAGUGAUUUAACCAUUUGAUGACUUAACUACCAAACAGGUGAUUAGCUAACUAUCCAGCAGGUGGUAAGCUAAUUAUCCAACAGGUGAUAAACUAUCCAGCAGUGAUUAACGAACUAUCCAGCAGAUGGUUAACUUACUAGCCAGUAGGAGGUUAGCUAAUUAUCCAGCAGGUGGGUAGCUAAUUAUCCAGCCGGUGAUUAACUAUCCAUCCAGCAAGUUAUUUACUAUCCAGCGAGGGAUUAACUAACACAUAACUAAUAAUCAGGUGGCAGGGGACUGACUACCCAACAAUACUCAUCUAUCCAGCAGGCAACUAUUCAGAGGUAAUUGAUUCUCAAACUAAUUAACUAUGUAAGGCAUGCGACAGUAACUAUCCAUUAGGCGGUUAACUAUCAAACAGAUCAUGAGUUCACGUAGAUUUUUUCUCUCCAGAUCAGUGAAAAUAGGCAAUUGGUGCUCUCUCUCUCUCUCUCUCUCUCUCUCUCUCUCUCUCUCUCUCUCUCUCUCAGUUCGCCUUUCUCCUUUUCCUUGGUUCGUUUCGCCAUUUCCCUUAUCCACUUGUCCUUUCCUUUGCCGCUUCGUCUUUUUCCAAUACUCGUUUGUCUCUCUCUCUCUCUCUCUCUCUCUCUCUCUCUCUCUCUCUCUCUCUCUCUCUCUCUCUCUCUCUCUCUCUCUCUCUCUCUCUCUCUCUCUCUCUCUCUCUCUCUCUCUCUCUCUCUCUCUCUCUCUCUCUCUCUCUCUCUCUCUCUCUCUCUCUCUCUCUCUCUCUCUUGCUCUUGCUCGUAUUUGAAAGAAGAAGAAUAUGAACAUGAGAAAGCGAGACGAGUUUUUUUGAUCGACUGAGAUUUUUUCGUAUCUUUUAUUUAGCCGAGCAGUGAAAGUGUGAUGGAUUGACUGACGUGGUAAAGUAGUGUGUCUCGGCGGCAAGCAGGGACGCGCGACCGCCACUGUCAGUCACGCCACGGUCUGAGGAUUCUUGCGUCAGGUGAGUUGACUACCCAAUGACCGCGUGGCGAGGGAAAGUAAUGUCACCAAGCGGCUACGAUGUUUUUCCCUCUAUUUUUAUUUCCCGUUAAGUUUUAUCUCUGAUUGGACGUGAAAUUAACUUGACCGCGACGGCCUUUCACCAGUUUGGCCAAGAAAACACCACCAUGCAACAAAGAAAACGGCUUUCAUUAUUCUACCAGGUUAGGAAAAGAAGACUUGUUGCCAUAAGAAUCGUGCACCAAUCCAGGGGUCUUCACAAUCAGCAUGUAUCAUCACAAACAGUCAUGCAUCAUUGUCUCGUAUUAUGUCCACCCCUUAACUCAUGCCUACUCGUACAUCAUUCCACCUCAAGUCUUGAUUUACCAUGCAGCAUUCCAAUCUCCCACCCUUGUUUUUCCAUGCUUCGCUCCAUGCACCACUGCCUCAUUCCACCCAUCAACUCUCCUCUCGUGCGUUAUUCCAUGCUAUAAACUCUCGUGUGUCGUGCAUCAUGCCAUUCUAUCAAACCUUCUCGUGCACCAUUCCAUGCAUUAUUUAACCCAUCAACUCUCUACCUUACCAUGCAACAUUCCACUCUUUAUCUCUCUUCCUUACCAUACAUCAUUAUGCAAAAUUCUCUUCUGAUCAUGCAAUAAAUUACUAUUAAUUCCAGACUGGCCUCACCAUGCAACAUUACAUUCCUUAACUCUCUUCCUUACCAUACAUCAUUCUACAAAAUUCUCAUCUGAUCAUGCAGUAAACUACUAUUAAUUCCAGACUGGGGUCACCAUGCACCAUUCCACUCAAUACUUCAGUCUCACCAUGCAGCAACUCACGCCUCACAUGCACCAUUCUGCCCUUUGAAUUGCGUCUCAUCAUGCACCAUUCCUUAAAUCAUGCCUCAUCAUGCACUACCACGCCCUCUUUAGUCACACCUCAUCAUGCGCCAUUCCAUUCUAUAACUUCACUAAGCAUGCGUCACUCCAUUCCUUAACUAUCGUUCCACCAUUCCUUUCCUGGAGUUAACAGAUCAAGAAGUACACUCACAUGCACUAGACUCAUACCACUCACCUGCAAUCACAAUACCUGUCGUCCUCGAAGGCACAAGCUUCUCAUUUAGACAUGCAUCAUUCCACUCGCUGACUCAGUAUUAACUCAUUCCAUUAGUGUUGCAUCAUUCCAUUCAGUGACAAUAUUAACUCAUUCCAUUAUUAGUAUUAUUUCACUGGUCUGUCCCACCUCGAGCAUAUUCCCCAAGGUUAUCAUUCCACAACGUCAGGUAACAUUGAAACUUUACCUAUAUUAAAGUAUACCACCUCCUCAUUCCACAAAUUCACUCCAUUACCUUAACACUCCACUAGCUUAUUCGCCUUAACAUUGCAUUAGUUUUGUCAUUCCACUAUCUUGCUAUCUUACAUUAAUCAUUCCACUAGUCUAUUCCACAACGUUAUUCUAAACUCAUCAUUCCACUAUCUUAUCAGUGCAUUUGUUCCACUUACUGCAUAGUUUUGUUUCACUUAUAAGCUAAUUCUAUUCCUUAGCAUUCCACCAGUGUAUUCAGCAUUCCCCUUUCCUUUUAAUUUGUUUAGGGACCGCACCUGCGUGGGCCUUUUUUUAUCACUUUUUGUUGCCCUUGAUUGAUCUUCCCACCUAUAAAAAAAAAUAAGCUUUGUAUUAUGAAGUCUUCCUAACCAUCAAUUCCACACUCACACGUCCAUGUCUCCCUUCCCUCAGGACCUACAUGUGUACUGACUGGGAUCAAGACGUUGGCACUUACGAAUUUCACUUCCUCGCUGUCAAAUGGCUGCUCAUAGCGAGGCGGGGGAGGAGCUGGCUGUUCGUACCGCUGUUGCUGAGGGGCGCACAUAGCCAAGCCCACGAGGCACGCCAACACGAUGACCUGUGACAUGACAAGGGUUGCGUUCUGCCGGCGUGCCUGUGAGGUUACUGAUGGAAAGGGAAAGUGGAGAGGUGGCGGUUGUGGCUUCGGGUGUGGCGGCUGGGACGGAGACGGAGGCGACGGCGGCGUUUUUAGAUGUAUUACGUCUACUUAGUGUGCGUCUCCUGGUUGUCUUGCUGUCUUUACUUCCCCACGAGCGGUGUCCAUCAGUGUAACGAGAGGAAAUGGCAAGAUGACGAAGAAAAAGCGAAGAUGG